rnacentral:rRNA from 1 species
AUUGAACGCUGGCGGCAGGCCUAACACAUGCAAGUCGAACGGUAGCACAGAGAGCUUGCUCUCGGGUGACGAGUGGCGGACGGGUGAGUAAUGUCUGGGAAACUGCCUGAUGGAGGGGGACCCUAACUACUGGAAACGGUAGCUAAUACCGCAUAAUGUCGCAAGACCAAAGAGGGGGACCUUAGGGCCUCUUGCCAUCAGAUGUGCCCAGAUGGGAUUAG